UUAGGAUGAAGGCGGCGGAGGGCAGAGAAUCGGGACUGAGGAACUGGGGCAACGUACCUGCACCCUUCCAGAGGAAGAAACGUGAGGAAAACCGAAUUAAGGGCUGCCUCCCGAGCCCCCUCACCAGCGACAGCGACUCGGACGCCGACCGGCCCCAGCCUGACGUCGUCGCAGACGACCUGGCCAGUCGACGGUUCCGCUCCCCUUCACCAUCCACGCCCACAAAUUUUGCGGUACCCAUGAGCCCGCAGGGCACAUUGAGGCUGUGGACAGGAAGCCCUCGCCUGUUUAGGAUUGACUCCCCUCCCAGACACUCCGCAGUGUUCUCUCCCAGCCGAAAGACAACAGGUUCCUCAGGAUGA
rnacentral:lncRNA from 13 species